rnacentral:rRNA from 1 species
GACGAACGUUGGCGGCGUGCUUAACACAUGCAAGUCGAACGGUAAGGCCCUUCGGGGUACACGAGUGGCGAACGGGUGAGUAACACGUGGGUGAUCUGCCCUGCACUUCGGGAUAAGCCUGGGAAACUGGGUCUAAUACCGGAUAGGACCACUGCCUGCAUGGGUGGUGGUGGAAAGCUUUUGCGGUGUGGGAUGGGCCCGCGGCCUAUCAGCUUGUUGGUGGGGUGAUGGCCUACCAAGGCGACGACGGGGAGCCGGCCUGAGAGGGUGACCGGACACACUGGGAUGGAGUGACGGCCGAGACUCAGAGGGGAGGCAGCAGGGGGGAAUAUUGCAAAUGGGGCGAAAGCCGGAAGCAGCGCCGCCGCGUGAGGGAUGACGGCUUUCGGGUUGUAAACCUCUUUCGGCCCCGACGAAGCGCAAGGGACGGUAGGUGCAGAAGAAGGACCGGCCAACUACGUGCCAGCAGCCGCCGUAA